AGCAUACAAGGCAUACGGCUCAGUAACGCGUAGUCAACCUAACCUAUGGACGGGAAUAACCUCGGGAAACUGAGAAUAAUGCCCGAUAGAACAUUAUGCCUGGAAUGGUUUAUGUUCCAAAUGAUUUAUCGCCGUAGGAUGGGACUGCGGCCUAUCAGUUUGUUGGUGAGGUAAUGGCCCACCAAGACUAUUACAGGUACGGGCUCUGAGAGGAGUAGCCCGGAGAUGGGUACUGAGACACGGACCCAGGCCCUAUGGGGCGCAGCAGGCGAGAAAACUUUGCAAUGUGCGAAAGCACGACAAGGUUAAUCCGAGUGGUUUCUGCUAAAGAAACCUUUUGUCAGUCCUAGAAACACUGAUGAAUAAGGGGUGGGCAAGUUCUGGUGUCAGCCGCCGCGGUAAAACCAGCACCUCAAGUGGUCAGGAUGAUUAUUGGGCCUAAAGCAUCCGUAGCCGGCUCUGUAAGUUUUCGGUUAAAUCUGUACGCUCAACGUACAGGCUGCCGGGAAUACUGCAGAGCUAGGGAGUGGGAGAGGUAGACGGUACUCGGUAGGAAGGGGUAAAAUCCUUUGAUCUAUUGAUGACCACCUGUGGCGAAGGCGGUCUACCAGAACACGUCCGACGGUGAGGGAUGAAAGCUGGGGGAGCAAACCGGAUUAGAUACCCGGGUAGUCCCAGCUGUAAACUAUGCAAACUCAGUGAUGCAUUGGCUUGUGGCCAAUGCAGUGCUGCAGGGAAGCCGUUAAGUUUGCCGCCUGGGAAGUACGUACGCAAGUAUGAAACUUAAAGGAAUUGGCGGGGGAGCACCACAAGGGGUGAAGCCUGCGGUUCAAUUGGAGUCAACGCCGGG
rnacentral:rRNA from 1 species